rnacentral:rRNA from 1 species
UACGGAGGGCGCAAGCGUUAAUCGGAAUUACUGGGCGUAAAGCGCACGCAGGCGGUUUGUUAAGUCAGAUGUGAAAUCCCCGGGCUCAACCUGGGGACUGCAUUUGAAACUGGCAAGCUUGAGUCUUGUAGAGGGGGGUAGAAUUCCAGGUGUAGCAGUGAAAUGCGUAGAGAUCUGGAAGAAUACCGGUGGCGAAGGCGGCCCCCUGGACAAAGACUGACGCUCAGGUGCGAAAGCGUGGGGAGCAAACAGG